CCCAAGACAAUAAGAUUGGAUGUAUCUCUCCAGAAAGGAUAGGAGCGUCACGUGGAAUCGCGCAGAAUAGGAACAGAGGAAUGAGUAUGGCACGCGCAGCAGAAAUCCACAGCACUUGCAUUCAGUAGUUGCUUUUCUUGUUGUUUCUGGACGUAAUGCGGGUGAUUGAGUCAAUCAAUACCUUGCCAAGCAAAUCGGAGGCGUUGAAAGUGGUCAUCAGAAUAAUCGGCAUCCACGACUUGAGUUUGCAAGAUAUUAUUUCCGACACGAUUCCUGGAUACAGAGAGAGUGUCACGGAAUAGGCAAGACCGAUACUGAUCAUGUACGGAAAAAUCAAUUUGAUGACUUCGAGUCUUGCGACCAGGCCUCCUAAAAAGAUGCAUCGUUAAGGUUCCUAGCUCCCCGCUGCGAAACUCUUCAUUAAUGACAUCAGGAAUGAAAAAAUACACGUUAAAAAUUCUUGCAAAAUUGAAUUUUUAAUGUGUAUUUUUUCGCUUUUGACGUCAUAAGUAGUCGCGGCGAGAGUUUAGGAAUCUAAAUACAUUAAAGAAAAGUGAUAUUUUACGAAAAUGCAGGUUUUCUGAAGUUUGUUUAAUGUGCAGGUAGCAUCACGAUUUCAUUUUGCGUAAAUAUACGCGAGCGAGAAGUAACGACCGAUAGAGUGAUGAUAUUUUCUAGCUCUUACUUUUUAUACCAGACCAUCGUUUGCCUGUGCUUUGCGUUCCGCAGGCUCCUCGCAUAACUACCACAUCUUCAACUUUGUAAGUCGGCCCAGCACUGCCAGGAGGAUUGCCCGACGGGGCACUAGGCUCGUACACCGGAUUGCUGAAGGAGAACGCAGAAUAUUGUCCGGAUGCUAAAAGAAUUCGGUUAGCGUCACAAGUUCGUCGCGAUUCUUUCAGCACAUGAAAAAUCAGAGGUAAAGAAACGAUCAUUGAGUCGACCUACGAAAUCAGGCGACUCCACACAUCCACGUAUUCAUCACCCAUGGUAAUUUCUCACUUACCAGUUACAUCAGUGCUUCCGCUCGCGGAUUCU